rnacentral:rRNA from 1 species
UCGAGGAUCUUCGUCAAUGGGCGCAAGCCUGAACGAGCGAUGCCGCGUGAGCGAUGAAGGCCUUCGGGUUGUAAAGCUCAAAAGGGGUGAGAAAGGGCAACUUGAUCGAACCCCAGUAAGCUCGGGCUAAGUUCGUGCCAGCAGCCGCGGUAAGACGAACCGAGCGAACGUUGUUCGGAAUCACUGGGCUUAAAGGGCGCGUAGGCGGGUGCUCAAGUCCGGGGUGAAAUCCUCCAGCUCAACUGGAGAACUGCCUCGGAUACUGGGUGCCUCGAGUGUGGUAGGGGUGCGCGGAACUAUCGGUGGAGCGGUGAAAUGCGUUGAUAUCGAUAGGAACUCCGGUGGCGAAGGCGGCGCACUGGACCACAACUGACGCUGAGGCGCGAAAGCCAGGGGAGCAAACGG